CGCGGCCACCCCCGGAGGCUCCCACGCCGCGACGCCGGACAUCCUUUUUUCCCAGGGUACAGUUUCGAAGCGCGGCGGAUACACCGCGGGCACGCGUUCGCAGACGGCGGCGACCCGCUCGCGACUGUACCCGCUCCGGCGUCGCGGCGCCCGACCUGCCCCUCUGACGCCCUUCCACCGGCCCGGUGGCGGCAGCCAUCCCCACCUACGGACGCCGACGCCGGGACCUCCUCGCUUCGCAUCCCCGGAUCCGACGAGACUCUAACCUCUCCGCCUUGCGUCUGGGACUUCCUACGGAUAUACCCGGCUACUCGGGGAGAGGGUGUGUCGAGGUGAUAAGGCUGCAUUGGCUGCUGCGGAACCCGACUGCAUCCGUGCACCCAGUUGCCGCGGAGUGGUGGAGCGCCCAAAGGAGAUCGGUAAUCGCGAUCGAAGGACUGGCCGGAUUUCUUGGAGAAGGGGCUGAGGAUGCUGUGGAUUAACUGCGUUACGUGUGAUGAAGAAUCACGAUCUGGCGGUUCCUCCUAAUGGUGUCGACUGGAAACGAGCCGGAUAAGGGGCGGUUAUUCAACACUGGUGCUGAAUCUCGGAAUCAUUAAUCUCGGUCUUCCUAGAUAUUCCUAAAACGAUUCCGGGUAUGUCUACUCGAGAAUUCGGAAGAAUGGAUACUUCGUUACUUUUACCUAAUUAAAUAAAAUUGAGCGACUUAAGGAA